rnacentral:rRNA from 1 species
UACGUAGGCAGCAAGCGUUGUUCGGAGUUACUGGGCGUAAAGGGUGUGUAGGCGGUUCUUUAAGUUUGGUGUGAAAUCUCCCGGCUCAACUGGGAGGGUGCGCCGAAUACUGAGGGACUAGAGUACGGGAGAGGAAAGUGGAAUUCCUGGUGUAGCGGUGAAAUGCGUAGAUAUCAGGAGGAACACCGGUGGUGCAGACGGCUCUCUGGACCGUAACUGACGCUGAGACACGAAAGCGUGGGUAGCAAACAGG